GGUAUCGUCUUACCUGUGCAAUAUUAGAGUUACAUUUAGGCAUCUAAUACUGUCAGGUAAUGACGAUAAC
rnacentral:pre_miRNA from 1 species